GCCGGGGUGGCGGAACUGGCAGACGCACAGGACUUAAAAUCCUGCGGUGAGUGAUCACCGUACCGGUUCGAUUCCGGUCCUCGGUACCA
rnacentral:tRNA from 1 species